ACCAGCAGAAGCAUAUCCGGUCGCGUGCACAGACCCGCCGUAUACACCACAACACAGGUAUACACAAGGCGUCUACAAACCAUAUAGUAAAAGCCUAUAAUUCUAACCAGGUGAUCAGAGCACGACUUUUAAACUUAUACAAUCCAAACUUAAGACAGGAAAUAAGAAUAUAGUACAAUUUACAAAAGUGUAAUAUACAUCUCUAUACUAAACUACAUAAACUGGUGGAGGUCGUCUAGUACACGUCCAAAAAGGCUCUAGCUAGCCGCAGACCCCUCGCCAAGAACCCUAGCCUUUCCCGUGGUGGAAGGCUCUGUAAAAACAACAACAAAGAGGGCGUGAGAACUAUUAAACAAUAGUUCCCAGUGGGUAAGCCGCCGAGAGUGGCGAAGUACACCACUAGGUCAACUGUGGCAUGAGUAGACAGCAAUAAAUAAGCGAGUAAAAGCAGAUAAUGCAAGUAAGUGCAAUAAGCCCGUAAAUGCAAUAAGCAAAUGUAAAAAUAAACUACUCAUGCUAUUUGCUCGACAAUCAAUAAAUAUCGAUAGACUGCAGGUAUCAAUUAUCACGAUGAAUUCUAUCAAUCAUCUUACUUGACAAUUUAACCAAAUAUAUACCAGAUUGCACGCAAGCUAAUUCAUUAUUACCGGAAUUACAGAUAAUAUCAUGUAAUUACUUUCUACAUUAGCAAGAAUGGAACAUUCUUUAUGUCUCUAAUCAAUCAUGAUGUCAUUUCUAGGUUAUUCAGCACUAAGCUCACUUUAGAUGUCAACUUUCUAGUCUGUUCAUCAAUAAGUCCACUUAACCCAAGACAUAUAGUAACUUUACUACUCUGUCCAGCUAAGGUUAAAGUACUUGACAUAACCCAAUUUCCAACGGACUUACACAAGGUAAGUUCAAGCCGCGCCGUGCCUAAUGGCCCCGUGGUAGUCAACAUCCCCACUCUAGGAAUGAGCCUCCCCCACGGCAUUCCAUUUCGGCGCUCACUUCGUACAUUUGCGAGCAUCUGUCGCUAAGCUGUUCGGGAGUGCUGGCUUGGGGGGGAGCGACCCCGCAAGCGUGUGCAAACGCGCACAAUGGCAUGCAAGCCGUAGUCCACAGUACCAGUCUCACAACAACAUCAUGUCCCUGACAUGGAAUCUCAACUCAAGCCACUCCGGAACGCGGGGCUUGGGGGGCGCGACCCCCGCAAGCAUGUACGAAAGAGCAUAAUGGCAUGCUAGCUAUAGUCCAGGGUACAAAUAUCUCAACAGCAUCAUGUCUCUGACAUGGAAUCUCAACUCGACCCAAGGUCGGCACUGUAGUACCCAAUCAUAAGUCACUAUCAACAACUUGUUGACAAGAUUCUACCAGUCGUUAAUAUAACUUGACAAGUUAAAGCUUUACAUCACACUAGUGAUUCUAUCAGGCUAUACCUGGUCAGUCACUCACAAUCUCUCACUACUCCUUACACAUAAGGAAAGUGGUUUACUAAGGUUCUGUUCAUAGACUCCUGGCACAUAACCUGAAGUUCAAUAUAAACUUCUAUUACUUGAAGCAAACAAAUAUGAAACAAUCACCUCUACUUGACUAUACAAGUAUGUCAUCAUAUUUAAAUCUAGUUAUCUACUAGAUUAUAUUCAGUUGUAUAUCAUUCAAUUAUGCCAUCAUAUAAACUUCUAGUUACUUACUAGAAUAUAUACCACAAUAUGAAUCUAUCAUGUGAAUGUAGGAACUAACAAAGUACUAUAAGCAGGGAAUAUAAACGAUAAAAUACUUUUCACCUGAUCUCCAUGCCAUUCAUUCUACAAUUAGAAAUGCAUAUGCAAACACAAGCCUUUACCCGAUCUUUCAGAGUUUAGCCAUUAUACUUGUUAUAUAACAUUGCAUAGCUCAAUCCUAAGUACAUCUGUCUCUUUGUUGUUCAACAGAACUAAUUGGUCCAUUCACGAAUUUACCAUUCUAUCCUCGUGGAUAACAUCAAGCCAAAUUGCAUAUGCAAGCUACUAGUAUCAUGAAUCCAUAGUACUUAACAGGUAACCAUGUAAAAUGGACAAGUCAUGAAGCUUUCGUUACCAUUUAAAGAUGCUAUCAUUUCCGAUAUGAUCUACAUAUCAGUGCAUGUCUCAAUGCCUUAAACUAUGCAUGUAUUCACAUGAAUAUGAAAUAACU
rnacentral:lncRNA from 1 species